AUGUAAUGUAAUGCCUACAACAUUAAUGCAAUGGAUCCCAUUAGAACUCUGCAAUUAAGUGCACUUGGGCUAGAGUAGUACUAGGAUGGGUGACCUCCCGGGAAGUCCUAGUGUUUUACAUG
rnacentral:rRNA from 1 species